ACACAGAGGAAGCACCGGCUAACUCCGUGCCAGCAGCGCGGUAAUACGGAGGGGUGCGAGCGUAAUCGAAUUACUGGGCGUAAAGCGCACGCAGGCGGUCUGUUAAGCUAGAUGUGAAAGCCCCGCGCUCAACGUGGGAGGGUCAUUUAGAACUGGCAGACUAGAGUCUUGGAGAGGGGAGUGGAAUUCCAGGUGUAGCGGUGAAAUGCGUAGAGAUCUGGAGGAACAUCAAUGGCGAAGGCAACUCCCUGGCCAAAGACUGACGCUCAUGUGCGAAAGUGUGGGUAGCGAACAGGAUUAGAUACCCUGGUAGUCCACACCGUAAACGCUGUCUACUAGCUGUUUGUGGAUUUAAUCCGUGAGUAGCGAAGCUAACGCGAUAAGUAGACCGCCUGGGGAGUACGGCCGCAAGGUUAAAACUCAAAUGAAUUGACGGGGGCCCGCACAAGCGGUGGAGCAUGUGGUUUAAUUCGAUGCAACGCGAAGAACCUUACCUACUCUUGACAUACUAGAAACUUUUCAGAGAUGAAUUGGUGCCUUCGGGAAUCUAGAUACAGGUGCUGCAUGGCUGUCGUCAGCUCGUGUCGUGAGAUGUUGGGUUAAGUCCCGCAACGAGCGCAACCCUUGUCCUUAGUUACCAGCAUUAAGUUGGGUACUUUAAGGAGACUGCCGGUGACAAACCGGAGGAAGGUGGGGACGACGUCAAGUCAUCAUGGCCCUUACGAGUAGGGCUACACACGUGCUACAAUGGCGAGUACAAAGGGAUGCAAACUGGUGACAGUAAGCGGACCCCUUAAAGCUCGUCGUAGUCCGGAUUGGAGUCUGCAACUCGACUCCAUGAAGUCGGAAUCGCUAGUAAUCGUAGGUCAGCAUACUACGGUGAAUACGUUCCCGGGCCUUGUACACACCGCCCGUCACACCAUGGGAGUGGGAUGCAAAAGAAGUAGGUAGCUUAACCUUCGGG
rnacentral:rRNA from 1 species